GGCUCGUUGGUCUAGGGGUAUGAUUCCUGCUUCGGGUGCAGGGGGUCCGGGGUUCAAAUCCCGGACGAGCCC
rnacentral:tRNA from 1 species